AACGAACGCUGGCGGCAGGCUUAACACAUGCAAGUCGAGCGCCCCGCAGGGGGAGCGGCAGACGGGUGAGUAACGCGUGGGAACGUACCUUUUGGUUCGGAACAACUCCGGGAAACUGGAGCUAAUACCGGAUAAGCCCUAACGGGGAAAGAUUUAUCGCCGAAAGAUCGGCCCGCGUCUGAUUAGCUAGUUGGUGAGGUAACGGCUCACCAAGGCGACGAUCAGUAGCUGGUCUGAGAGGAUGAUCAGCCACACUGGGACUGAGACACGGCCCAGACUCCUACGGGAGGCAGCAGUGGGGAAUAUUGGACAAUGGGCGCAAGCCUGAUCCAGCCAUGCCGCGUGAGUGAUGAAGGCCUUAGGGUUGUAAAGCUCUUUUGUCCGGGAAGAUAAUGACUGUACCGGAAGAAUAAGCCCCGGCUAACUUCGUG
rnacentral:rRNA from 1 species